UGAACCACAGCCGUUGAAGUAAUGAUAUAUAAUGCCAUAACCCUAAUUAUCGCUAACUUCUCUUAAGUUCCCUUGAAUCCCUUCAGAGGCAUCUUCUUCUCUCCCUCUCAGACUCAGUGUCUUUUCUUCACUUUCUCUUCGCUUUGUAAAUCAAAUCACAACAUCACCAACAACAAUCAAUCAACAACGUCACCAGUAUCAAACCAACAACCGAAGAUUUAUUUGGUGAUCUUAGUACGUAUUCCAUCCUCGUAGAUGAUGAUUGAAGAAGAAGGUCAUACGAAGAUCUUUUGGUGAUGAUACUGCUAUAUGAAGAACAAGGUUACGUGAAGAACAUGAAAUUAUGCUGGGAUUCAUCGUCGAUUUUGAAAAGAAUGGAACUCUUGUUUCUUGAGACUAUAAAUGGCUUUGUGCCUGGCAGGAUGUUUUUGUUUGUUCAUUUUUCCCUAGUUAUAUUGGCAAUACCAUUGGGUACAUAUUUAGAUAGGCUGUUGCAAGAUUAUUCUUUUUUUUUGCUUUUUGGGAA